UUUAUCGGAGAGUUUGAUCCUGGCUCAGGACGAACGCUGGCGGCGUGCCUAAUACAUGCAAGUCGAGCGGACUUGAAUAGAAGCUUGCUUCUAUUCAAGUUAGCGGCGGACGGGUGAGUAACACGUGGGUAACCUGCCUGUAAGACUGGGAUAACUCCGGGAAACCGGGGCUAAUACCGGAUAACUUCUUUCUCCGCAUGGAGAAAGAUUGAAAGAUGGUUUCGGCUAUCACUUACAGAUGGACCCGCGGCGCAUUAGCUAGUUGGUGAGGUAACGGCUCACCAAGGCGACGAUGCGUAGCCGACCUGAGAGGGUGAUCG
rnacentral:rRNA from 1 species